CCCUUAGAUGUUCUGGGCCGCACGCGCGCUACACUGAUGCAUGCAACGAGUUCCUUUGAUUUGGGUUGGGAGUCUCUCCCACCUCACUUCUAUCCUUGGCCGAGAGGCCCGGGCACUCUUGUGAACCUGCAUCGUGACGGGGCUAGAUCUUUGCAAUUAUGGAUCUUCAACGAGGAAUGCCUAGUAGGCGUUGGUCAUCAGCCAGCGUCGAUUACGUCCCUGCCCUUUGUACACACCGCCCGUCGCUACUACCGAUUGAACGGUUUAGUGAGGGCCUCGGAUUGGUCUCGGCCCGCUCUUUACCGGGCGGCGCCGUUGGUCGAGAAGACGCUCGAACUUGAUCGUUUAGAGGAAGUAAAAGUCGUAACA
rnacentral:rRNA from 1 species